rnacentral:rRNA from 1 species
GAUGAACGCUGGCGGCGUGCCUAACACAUGCAAGUCGAACGGACAUUUUUUGGAAAGUUCUUCGGAACCGGAAUCUAAAUGUUAGUGGCGGACGGGUGAGUAACGCGUGAGCAAUCUGCCUUUCAGAGGGGGAUAACAGCCGGAAACGGCUGCUAAUACCGCAUAAGCGCACAGCUCCGCAUGGAGCAGUGUGAAAAACUCCGGUGGUGUGAGAUGGACCCGCGUCUGAUUAGGUAGUUGGUGGGGUAACGGCCUACCAAGCCGACGAUCAGUAGCCGACCUGAGAGGGUGACCGGCCACAUUGGGACUGAGACACGGCCCAA